rnacentral:rRNA from 1 species
GAGGGAUUUUGCGCAAUGGGCGGAAGCCUGACGCAGCAACGCCGCGUGAGUGAAGAAGGCCUUUGGGUUGUAAAGCUCUGUCGACAGGGAAGAAGUUAAUGUAAUUUAAUAGAUUAUGUUAUUGACGGUACCUGAGAAGGAAGCAUCGGCUAACUCCGUGCCAGCAGCCGCGGUAAUACGGGGGAUGCAAGCGUUAUUCGGAAUUAUUGGGCGUAAAGGGCGCGUAGGCGGUUUUAAAAGUCAGAUGUGAAAGCCCGGGGCUUAACCCCGGAAGAGCAUUUGAAACUAUAAGACUUGAGUACGGUAGAGGAAAGCGGAAUUCCUGGUGUAGAGGUGAAAUUCGUAGAUAUCAGGAGGAACACCGGUGGCGAAGGCGGCUUUCUGGGCCUGUACUGACGCUGAGGCGCGAAGGCGUGGGUAGCGAAC